CACCUUUGCUCUUUGAACGUCUCAAUUUGCCAGUCCCCACUCCCACUUUGCCCCAUCUUGCUCCAAGGCUGGCAAACUUUGCUGGAGAAAACCACAAAAGUACUGAUGGAGCUGUCUGCCACUUGUGUCUGUCUUGGCCUGGACCUCAGUGGCAUUAGUCAUCUGUAUGAGAUCAGAAGUUUGAAGAGGCUUGAUUGGUUCUCAAACACUGGGCCAUUCCUCAAGACAUCCACCCUGGCUCUCCUUCAGAAGACUGGCUCUGGCUCUGACAUCUGCCUCAGAAAAUGUUUGCUGACCCCUGACCUAGAAGCUGUGAGGGCUGGUGGAGGAAAUCUUGUGAAGGGCAAGUAUCAUUUUGUAAAGCUCUGCCUCAGAGUGAAGAACAAUUCCUGGAGUGACCCUGACACCAGUGGGAAGCAAACAGGAAGAAGCAAAUCCCUUCUUCCUCCUCCAGCCUCCAGUGUCCCUCCAGCAUCCUCAGGGCCUCCUAGAGCCUAACAGGGAGCAGCUGCAGAGUGGAAAUAUGUGGUGUUCAGAGUCUUAGCUCCAACACCACAUAGUAGGGGUUACCAGGCUGAGCUGCAGUUGCUUAAUCAGCAGCACACGUCCCAGUUAUUCACAGGAGAAGAGAGUCUUCAUAACUGUGAUGCUAAAGCAUGCCAGGAGGAUAUUAUCACCCACUCACCACUAAGAACCAGCUCCUUGUUGCCACCUGAGCAGGAAAUGAUCCAAGACUGAGGAUCUGCUGCCUGGACCCCUUCUAAUACCAACUGUCUUAGUGUGGGUUCCCAGAAGCCAACCCUGAGGCAAGGAUUUGAGUGAAGUGGUUUAUUUGGGAGGUAGAGGGACAAAUAAAGCAUGUGUUGCCAGCCAGCUACCACCAUGGGUGACUGCAGGGAAGCUCUCACCUCCAGCACAGCAGCAAGUACCUCACAGGCUUUCGAGCUUGGUGAGGUAGUCCCAGGCAGAUCGCAGGGAGACAG
ensembl:lncRNA